rnacentral:lncRNA from 1 species
GAUCGUAUUCAUCGUAUUGUAUCGUGCCAAUGAGAUAUUAAUAUUAUAUAAUUCUUGUAUCGAUGACAUAGUUCAAAAUUUUUUAUUUUUUAUUAAAUUUUUAAUAAAGUUUAAAAUUUUGAUAAAAAUACAUAAUAAGCUAGCACUUAUAAUAUUUUAUUUUUAGAAAAAUUAAAUUUUUUAUACCAUUAUACGUCUACACACAUGCAUUUCUUUUGACCGGCAUGCGUGUCGGUGCAUCCUGCCGUACCGUACUGACAAGUUUUUGACACAAUCUUGUAACAGGACACUUAAAUCCUCGAUAAUACUGUUUAAUAAAAUAUUGUUUGGGUUGGUAAUUCCUACUUAUCCCGUU